CAGAGAAAUUCUGUAGAAAGGACUGUAGGAAAUUUUACCCUGCUUGUGCGGGCGCCACGUGCUACGCACACAUGCGUGUAGUUAGCGCGGGAUGUGCGCCUAUGUGCACAUACUAUUCGUGUGAGGCGUGAGGCUUGCAGUCUGCACAUGUUGCUCUCAGGCUACGUCGUGCCACCCCUUGGGCGGUGUGCGCCACCCUUUGGGGGUGUGUGCUGCUGUCAUUUGGGCAGUGUGUCUUCAGUCUUCGUGCUGCCAUCAUGUCAUCGUCAUCUCGUCAGUCGUUCGUCAGUAAUGUCUGUCAGUCGUCAUGUCGCAUCGAUCACUUUUUCCCCUCUAUCUCUCCUCAUGGGUUUCCAUUGCUUGAUUGAAAUCCAACGGUUCUC
rnacentral:lncRNA from 1 species